AGUGAACGCUGGCGGUAGGCCUAACACAUGCAAGUCGAACGGCAGCACAGUAAGAGCUUGCUCUUACGGGUGGCGAGUGGCGGACGGGUUAGGAAUACAUCCGAAUCUACUUUUUCGUGUGGGAUAACGUUGGGAAACUUACGCUAAUCCCGCAUACGACCUACGGGUGAAAGCAUCGGAUCUUCGGACCUUGCCUGAUUGAAUGAGCCGAUGUCGGAUUUGCUAGUUGGCGGGGUAAAGGCCCACCAAGGCAACAAUCCGCAGCUGGUCUGAGAGGAUAAUCAGCCAAAAUGGAACAGAAAAACGGUAAAGAUUCCUAAGGGAGGCAGCAGUGGGGAAUAUUGGACAAUGGGAGCAAGCCUGAUCAAGAAAAACCGCGUGAGUGAAGAAGGCCUUAGGGUUGUAAAACCCUUUUGUUGGGGAAGAAGAGCAGGAAGUUAAUACACGGCUGUUCUGAAGGUACCCAAAGAAUAAGCACAGGAUAACUUCGUG
rnacentral:rRNA from 1 species